rnacentral:misc_RNA from 1 species
UCUAUUAGCAUAAAUUUGAAAUGAGAGCUCGAGUCAUAGUGAAUCUUUCAUUAGCUGAUUACACAACCAUGGAUGCGUUGCAGUUACCCUCUUCAUAGAACCCGGUGUUUCCGACCAUUGAACUUCCCAGCAUCAAUGUAAGAAGCAUUGUUGGUUCAGUCGAGCUCUUCUGCUGCUUAACAAACUGCCAUGCUGCAGUCCGAAAGACCGUCGUAGAGUACCCCAAGCUAAAAAAAUGGUUGGAUAUGUCCCUCUAACCCGACCGUGUUGGCAUGGCCCCUUGGAUACACAACUUUCUUACGACAUCCUUCCAUCUUUUGGCAAAUACUCUUUGCGACAAGCUCCUCCUCUCCAGACGGAUCUUGGAAACAAGAUGGACGGGGAAGUAGUUCACCAGCCCUCGCCUGGAGAUGAACUGUCCUGUCGCAAUUCCUUCCGAACGCCUCCUCCAUGCCGUUUCUUUCAAAAAAUGCCCUCAACAAAUCCAACCGACGUCUUGUCUCAACCAAUACCCCAGGAAUGUCAAUGAUUUUCGCCACAUCUCCCCUUUAGAGAUUGGCUUACGUUGAAAAUUAUCAGAUGACAUCUGUUUCACAGAAUUUUUACAUAAGCUACAUCAUUCGUAUUGAAAUGUCUGAACAAGGAUGUUACUUAUAACACGUAUAACCCUGUUUCUAUAAAUAUAUACUGAAUUACUGCAAAAUAUAUCUUCUGAACUGACAUAUGUAGCAAAAUUUCUCUUCUUUAUUGUCUGGAAUACACAGAAAAUUAUAUUUGUAUUUGAAUUAAUCCUUUAACAUUUCAAAUGGGCAUAUCAAUCCCAAAUAUUCUACGCAUUCUAUGUUAAAAUUGCCCACACCUCGCCUUUCACACACACCCUACAUUGUCAUUCUAAAAAUAAACAAUCACAUCAUUGAAAUCUGAACAUGAUAAGAUAAUGAAUGAUUAUUAAUAUGGCAGUUGCCAGCAUCUUCAAAUAUUAACAAAGAUUAUUAUUGAUGGAGAUAUAUCAGUAGAAAUAUUUGUUAAGAGCAAUAUACAAAAAGAAAGACAACAUUUGUAUACUGUCACAAGAGAAAAGAAGAUUAUGGAAAAUGAAUUAUAUUGGAGUGAAGUUGAAUAUAAAAGAGAGUCUGAAGAACUUGAUUUUCCUGGUGAGGAAAUGAAUGAAAAGGGCAAAAUAUCAUAUGAUUGUGAUACCUGUGGUAAAUUAUUCUCUCAGAAAGCUGACUUAGUCAUUCACAAAUGCAUUCAUACAGGAGAAAAACCAUAUCAUUGUGAUAUCUGUGGUAAAUCAUUCGUUAAUAAUAGUUACUUAACUACACACAUACGCAUUCACACAGGAGAAAAGCCAUAUCAUUGCGAUAUCUGUGGUAAAUCAUUUUCUCAGAAUGGUAACUUGUCUCUUCAUAAACGUAUUCACACAGGAGAAAAGCCAUAUCAUUGUGAUAUCUGUGGUAAAUCCUUCUCUGGAAAUUAUUACUUAACUACUCACAUACGUAUUCAUACAGGGGAAAAGCCAUAUUAUUGUGAUAUCUGUGGUAAAUCCUUCUCUGAAAGUGGUAACUUAACUAAGCACAAACUUGUCCAUACCGAAGAGAAGCCAUAUCAUUGCGAUAUCUGUGGUAAAUCAUUCUCUCAAAACGGCAACUUGACUCUUCACAAACGCAUUCAUACAGGAGAGAAGCCAUAUCAGUGUGAUAUCUGUGGUAAAUCCUUCUCUGGAAUUGAUUACUUAACUAAGCACAAGCGUGUUCAUACAGGAAAGAAGCCAUAUCAGUGUGAUAUUUGUGGUGAAUCAUUCUACGUAAAUAGUCACGUAACUAUUCACAAACGCAUUCAUACAGGAGAGAAGCCAUAUCAUUGUGAUAUCUGUGGUAAAUCAUUUUCUCAGAAUAGGAACUUGGCUCGCCACCAACGCAGUCAUACAGGAGAGAAGCCAUAUCAUUGUGAUAUCUGUGGUAAAUCCUUUUCUGAAACUGGUAACUUAACUAAGCACAAACUUGUUCAUACUGAAGAGAAGCUAUAUCAUUGCGAUAUCUGUAGUAAAUCAUUUUCUCAAAAUGGUAAUUUAACUAAGCACAAGCUUGUUCAUACCAAAGAGAAGCCAUAUCAUUGCGAUAUCUGUGGUAAAUCAUAUUCUCAAAAUGGUAACUUGACUCUUCACAAACGCAUUCAUACAGGAGAGCAGCCAUAUCAGUGUGAUAUCUGUGGUAAGCCAUUCUCUGAAACUGGUAACUUAACUAAGCACAGGCUUGUUCAUACUGAAGACAAACCAUAUCAUUGCAAUGUCUGUGGUAAAUCAUUCUCUCAAAAUGGUAACUUAACUAAGCAUAUGCUUGUUCAUACGGGAGAGAAGCCAUAUCGUUGCGAUAUCUGUGGUAAAUCAUUUUCUCGAAAUGGUACCUUGAUUCUUCACAAACGCAUUCAUACAGGAGAGAAGCCGUAUCAAUGUGAUAUCUGUGGUAAAUCCUUCUCUGGGAUUGAUUACUUAACUAAGCACAAGUGUGUUCAUGCAGGAAAGAAGCCACAUGGCUGUGAUAUUUGUGGUGAAUCAUUCUCCGGAGAUAGUGACAUAACUAUUCACAAAUGUAUUCAUACAAGAGAAAAGCCAUAUCAUUGUGAUAUCUGUGGUAAAUCAUUUGCACAAAAUAUUAAGUUGACUUAUCACAAACGCAUUCAUACAGGAGAGAAGCCAUUUCAGUGUGAUAUCUGUGGUAAAUCCUUCUCUGAAACUGGUAACUUGACUAAGCACAAGCUUGUUCAUACCAAAGAGAAGCCAUAUCAGUGUGAUAUCUGUGGUAAAUCCUUCUCUGGAAGUAAUCAUGUAACUGCUCACAAGCGUGUUCAUACAGGUGAGAAGCCAUAUCAUUGUGAUAUCUGUGGUAAAUCAUUUUCUCAAAAUAGUCACCUGACUAGACACAAACGCAUUCAUACAAGAGAAGUCACAUUACUGUAAUACCUGUGGUAAAUCAUUUCCCAAAAUAGCACUUUAACUGGUCACAAACGUUUACAUACAGAGGAGAAGCCAUAUCAUUGUGACAUGUAGCAAAUGAUUUACUUAUAAAAGCAGCUUAACUACUCACAAGAGCAUUCACAUGACAGACAAACCAUUCCAGUGAUCGGUCAUCGUUCUUUUCAAGAGCAAAGGAACGCUUCUCAGUAAACAACUCCAGACUUGUUUUUUUUCACUUGCGAAUCAGUGGUCACGUCUACAAAUGAUGUGAUUCAGAAAACAAUUAUAAUAUAUUUUGUCUAUUCUA